rnacentral:rRNA from 1 species
GUGGGGAAUUUUGGACAAUGGGCGCAAGCCUGAUCCAGCAAUGCCGCGUGCAGGAAGAAGGCCUUCGGGUUGUAAACUGCUUUUGUACGGAACGAAAAGGCUCUGGCUAAUACCUGGAGCUCAUGACGGUACCGUAAGAAUAAGCACCGGCUAACUACGUGCCAGCAGCCGCGGUAAUACGUAGGGUGCGAGCGUUAAUCGGAAUUACUGGGCGUAAAGCGUGCGCAGGCGGUGAUGUAAGACAGUUGUGAAAUCCCCGGGCUCAACCUGGGAACUGCAUCUGUGACUGCAUUGCUGGAGUGCGGCAGAGGGGGAUGGAAUUCCGCGUGUAGCAGUGAAAUGCGUAGAUAUGCGGAGGAACACCGAUGGCGAAGGCAAUCCCCUGGGCCUGCACUGACGCUCAUGCACGAAAGCGUGGGGAGCAAACAGGAUUAGAAACCCUUGUAGUCC